rnacentral:tRNA from 1 species
UCCAAUAUGGCAGAUUAGUGCUGUGAAUUUAAGAUUCAUAUAUGAAUAUUUUUAUUCUUUUGGAA